rnacentral:lncRNA from 1 species
GUUACGAGUUCAAAUAGAACCUAGCAUUGCUGAAGGCACCUGACUUGGUCAUUGAUGUCCUGCCCACAAUGUCUGCUGCGUUCGAUGGUCCGUGAAGCCGAGAGACCGAUGUGACUGCCUUUUCCAUCUGUGAGAAGUGGCGAACAUUAAACCUUUGCAACUGAGAGUUUCUCUCUAUCUUGGCUUUUUUGAUGCAUGCCUGUGCAUAAUUUAGAGGGUACUUACAUGUCUGCGGACAGAUUUUGGUGUUCUUAAGUAAGAGACUUUUUUUUUUAAGAUUUUGAAAGUCUAGAGAAUCUCCCAUGGAAUUUUGGCCUAAUUAUCAGAACGGUCCGGUUUGUUAGUAACUUGUUCUGACCUUUGUACAGAAAUGUUUUGUUCGUUGAACAGACUUAGCUCAACUCACAAAAUAAUUAUCCACAACAUCCCAGCUCUGCCAUAUAGUGAGCAGGUUUUAACAUCAGCCUGGAACUCACUUGAAAAUAUGUAUGGUGGCUAUUUGCUUCUUCUCAGGUAGUCUUUGGGACUGUGUCAGUGGCUUGUGAAUACUUAAAUCCUUAGUGUGAGUCACUCUCGCAGAUAUUGAUGACAUUUGGAGAGCUAUUAUUUAAAACGUGGAUUGACAGCUUGCCCCCUUUGUCCUCUACCUUGAUUUCAGCCUCCAUCUGGAAGAUGUGUGUGCCUUUCUGUGCUUGGUGUACUAUAGUGAGCCAGAAGCAGCCACACCUCUGGCCACAAGUACUAAAAACAGUACUUUCAGGAGGCCUUCUGAGCAUACAGAGAAUCCAGUGUCAUGCCUGUUGUAACACAGGGCAAACUAUUCAACAGCUGGAUAGAUGGAUGAGCUGUCUUGUGCUGGUCUUUCUUGAUCCCAUUGGUUAGUAGCAGACCUGCCGGGAGAUGUCAAAGCAGCGUUCCGUUCUCAGUUGUACAAGUCCGUUCAUCUUUUGCUGGGUCCUUCCUGUCUGUUUUGUCCUAACUGCCUCUCCUCUCUCCAGCCCCCUUUACGUAAGUUUUGUUUGAUGUAAAGCAACUUCAUAGAACUUACUUGGUAAAAAUGUAUUAGUUCAGUAGGCUUUUUAAAAAAUAUAUGUUCCAGAGUUGUACAGCAGAAGCAAUUUUAUAACAUUUUUAAGGAUUUAAAAAAAUAUGUCUCCAUGUUGGGCUAUAUGAACAUGUGCAUGCAAAUUCCCAAGGAGGCCAGAAGAAGGGGGUCAAAGCCCCUGAAACCAGGGUUACAGAUGGUCUAGAGCUGCCCAACAUGGAUGCUGAUAACUGAAUUUGGGUCUGUUGCUAGAGCAGUAUAUUCUCUUAACCACUAAGCCAGCUCUCCCAGCCCCAACUUUCCAUUUUAACUAAUCAUGCCUCUUUUUUUCUUCCUUCCUUCCUUCCUUCCUUCCUUCCUUCCUUCCUUCCUCCCUCCCUCCCUCCCUCCCUCCCUCCCUCUCUCUCUCUCUCUCUCUCUCUCUCUCUCUCUCUCUUUCUCCUUCUGUCCCUCCCUCCCUGUCUUCAUUUGUUUGGGACAUUUCAGGUAGUCAUGUAAUAUGUGGCUGCUCAGUGUAUCCAUGGACACAUCAUUCCUCUUGCCGGCUAAGUGACAUUAGGUUGGGUCCCGUCUAAGAUUUCUCGGCUUUCUGGCUGAGAGUGUUGCUGUGAAUACUUGUUUUGUGUGGAUGUAUGUUUUCGAUUCCCUUGGGUAUUUGUUCCUAGAAGCGGAAUUGCCAGUUCACGUGGCAACUCCACUUGACUGAGAACCACCAAACUGCUUCUCAAAGCACCUGUACCACGGCGCAUGUCCGCAUGCCUGUGCAUCACGCCUGUGCAUCACCUCACACUGCUUUCAGAGAUGUUUACACGACCAUCACGAGGUCAGGGAAACAGAGAAUUUUGUUUCCUUUGAUUUGGCUCUGGAGGCAAAGUCUUGCAACAGCCCAGAUUUGGCUCCGGCUCAGAGCCUUCCUGUUUUGGCUUCCCGAGUACCGGUAAUGCAGGCCGUGUACCACCAAGUGUGCUGAGCCUUCGUUUCUGAUUUUGAGGGGAUUUUGCCCUGAGUGUGGUGCAGUUUUUCUUUCUCCCCUAACCUGUGGCUGGGCCUUUGUUGUUUGGGGCAUUUUAUUGUCACAGCCUUUCCUUGGCUCCAUCCAGAGGAAGUCUCUUGUGUGGGUGUGGUCGCUGAGCACUGCUGGUGUUCUUUGUUUUUGCCUCUGAGAAGAGAUGAAGGCAGCGCAGGUGAGGACAGACCGCAGCCUAUACAGACCCUGCACGGGAAGCAGGAGGCAGCGGGUGCUCAAGGCAGGCUGGGUGUGCAGCAAGCAGAGCAGGGAGGAGCCCCUCCCUGGGCCUGUGGACGGGUAGGUUCAACAAAUUCAGUCAUGAUCAGCUUAUUGAUCACGGCUUAUUGAUCGUGAUCCUUCAGCUCUGUGGGAAGCAUCGCCCGGAAUUCCUCUAGGUUUUCUGAGCAGAUAUUCUCAGACUGGACCAUAUUUCCAGUAGAGAAUGCUAGGGGGUUACAUCCUUUGUUUCUAGAGACCUUCACCGCCAUCACCUGCCUCUGCCUUUCCUCUGCUAGGGGCAAAGGCAUGUACUGCUCCUUUGAACAGUCGGUUUUCAACCCUCUUGCUCUGCUCCUGCUGCAAAUACCAGGAAAACCGUCUCACCUCCUGCUAUGAACUCUUGUUGUCUUGUAUCCUGGGGCUCUCAUGUAGACCUCAAACUCAGAGCUCCACUUGCCUCUGCCUCCUGAGUUAAACACACACACAAGCAUGCCCUGUUCACCUUCUCUUAGGUUAUUAACAACGCUGCUGUUUUUAGGAGAACUUCACUUUAAUGGCCUUUAUCCUAACAUCACCCCAGCCCCCUACUGCCUUCUCUUCCCCUUUUCAGGGGUCCAGAUCUCUCCAUAGAUGCCAUGGGGAAGAGCCAGU